GACAGAGGGUGCAAACGUUGUUCGGAAUUACUGGGCGUAAAGCGCGUGUAGGCUGCUCGGAAAGUCGGAUGUGAAAGCCCUGGGCUCAACCUAGGAAGUGCAUUCGAAACUUCCGAGCUGGAGUUCUGGAGAGGAAGGCGGAAUUCUCGGUGUAGAGGUGAAAUUCGUAGAUAUCGAGAGGAACACCGGUGGCGAAGGCGGCCUUCUGGACAGUGACUGACGCUGAGACGCGAAAGCUAGGGGAGCAAACGGG
rnacentral:rRNA from 1 species